UUCAUUUCUGAAUGAAUAUUCAUAGCUGAGUCUACUAAAAGAGGGAUUCGCCUCGUCGUGGUGAUUAGAGGACACCUCUGAUCGUUCACCUCUAAUGUGAUACGUUCCCUCCCAGUUAUAGGGUCAACGGGAUCAGUCGGCUAGAGAGCGGGGCUAUUCUUCUUCCGGGUAGACAAAGUCAUCCCUUCUACUGACCGAACCCUAAGUUCGGGGUCCUUCGUCAACAUGUUACGAAGCUCCAGUCUUUGGUGGGUCACCAUUACUUGACUU
rnacentral:lncRNA from 1 species